rnacentral:sRNA from 10 species
UGAUGGUGGCGUUUUUGAGGACAGAUGUCCGUGUCUUGGUUUCCUGGGCCAGCGGCAUCGUCGGUGACUCGAUCUCCUGCCCCCGGGGG